rnacentral:rRNA from 1 species
CGCGGUAAUUCCAGCUCCAAUAGCGUAUACUAAAGUGUUGCAGUUAAAAAGCCCGUAGUUGGAUUUCUGGCGGGGACGGCUGGUCGGUCUCGAAAGGGGCUGUACUGUUCUUGGUUCCCGUCAUCCUUGGGGAGAGCGGCUCUUACAUUAAGUUGUCGGCGUCGGGAUCCCUAUCUUUUACUGUGAAAAAAUUAGAGUGUUCAAAGCAGGCUUAGGCCCUGAAUACAUUAGCAUGGAAUAAUAAGAUACGACCUUGGUGGUCUAUUUUGUUGGUUUGCACGCUAAGGUAAUGAUUAAUAGGGAUAGUUGGGGGUAUUCGUAUUCAAUUGUCAGAGGUGAAAUUCUUGGAUUUAUGGAAGACGAACUACUGCGAAAGCAUUUACCAAGGAUGUUUUCAUUAAUCAAGAACGAAAGUUAGGGGAUCGAAGAUGAUUAGAUACCAUCGUAGUCUUAACCAUAAACUAUGCCGACUAGGGAUCGGUGGGUGCAUUUUUAGGCCUCAUCGGCACCUUAUGAGAAAUCAAAGUCUUUGGGUUCCGGGGGGAGUAUGGUCGCAAGGCUGAAACUUAAAGAAAUUGACGG